rnacentral:rRNA from 1 species
UACAGAGGUCUCAAGCGUUUGUUCGGAUUCAUUGGGCGUAAAGGGUGCGUAGGUGGCAUGGUAAGUCGGAUGUGAAAUCCCGGGGCUCAACCCCCGGAACUGCAUUCGAUACUGCUGCGCUAGAGUACUGGAGAGGAGAUUGGAAUUUACGGUGUAGCAGUGAAAUGCGUAGAUAUCGUAAGGAAGACCAGUGGCGAAGGCGGGUCUCUGGACAGUUCCUGACGCUGAGGCACGAAGGCCAGGGGAGCAAACGGG